rnacentral:rRNA from 1 species
ACACUCCUACGGGAGGCAGUAGUGGGGAAUAUUGGACAAUGGGCGCAAGCCUGAUCCAGCCAUGCCGCGUGAGUGAUGAAGGCCCUAGGGUUGUAAAGCUCUUUCACCGGUGAAGAUAAUGACGGUAACCGGAGAAGAAGCCCCGGCUAACUUCGUGCCAGCAGCCGCGGUAAUACGAAGGGGGCUAGCGUUGUUCGGAUUUACUGGGCGUAAAGCGCACGUAGGCGGACUAUUAAGUCAGGGGUGAAAUCCCGGGGCUCAACCCCGGAACUGCCUUUGAUACUGGUAGUCUUGAGUUCGAGAGAGGUGAGUGGAAUUCCGAGUGUAGAGGUGAAAUUCGUAGAUAUUCGGAGGAACACCAGUGGCGAAGGCGGCUCACUGGCUCGAUACUGACGCUGAGGUGCGAAAGCGUGGGGAGCAAACAGGAUUAGAUACCCCAGUAGUCCC